UACGUAGGCAGCGAGCGUUAUCCGGAUUUACUGGGCGUAAAGGGUGUGCAGGCUGCCCCUCAAGUGGUGUAUGAAAGGGCUCGGCUCAACCGGGCUAGGUUAUGCCAGACUGAGGGGCUAGAGAGCGAGAGCGGGACGUGGAAUUCCGGGUGUAGUGGUGAAAUGCGUAGAUAUCUGGAGGAACAUCGGUGGCGAAGGCGGCAUCCUGGACCGGUAUUGACGCUGAGGCGCGAAAGCCAGGGGAGCAAACGGG
rnacentral:rRNA from 1 species